rnacentral:lncRNA from 1 species
UAGGACUGUGCCAUGUCAUGGAUUCUCAGCACUGGAUAAUUCUGUUUUCGUUGUUUCAUAGAUAAUUUAGGCAUCUCAUUUUCUGUUCUUGACCCUUCUAUUUUUAAUAUACACUUUGCUUCAGAGUACUAGUGAGUACUUUCAGUGCUAUUUAUUAUUAUUAUUAUUUUUUUGCAUGCAAUAACACCUGCCAUGUAAUAUGCUGAGAAUGUUCUCAGCAUUAGAAAAGUAAAGAUGUUCUCUACUUGCACUAAAGGCUGUUUCUUCCUUUCCUACUGUUUUCUGUGACUCUUCCAAAGGAGAGAAGAGAAUGUUAAGAAAGAAAAAUAUGUUGUUUAAUUUUAUUUCUUAUUUGUUAAUUUUUGAAUUGGAAUCAUUUUGGUUUGUUCAGAUCACAUUUUUGUGUCCCACAGAUGAAGAAGGAGUGGCCUUGCAGUGACAUUCUCUCAGAUCAACUAGUCUCUUUGAUGCAGCAUAAUUACAAGGACAGAGGUGAUUCCGUCCCCUGCCAUUUCAGCGAUGGGAUCUGAAGGGGAGGUAAGACAUACUGUGAUAAUUCACCUCUCAACUUAGCAAGGUCAGGACAAACAUUCUUGCCUGUCUUAGCCAAGUGAAAAAGCCACUGUUGUUAAAAAUCCAGGAGGCAGCAGUAUUUUGCUGCUCAGAACCCAGAAGUGCAGGGUAAUACAACCAUGACAGCUUUGAUGCUAGAUUAUUCGGUAUAUUUGUAGCUGUGGAUUGAUGUAAUGCUGAUCAGAAAGAAUCAUCUUUGCCAAAUCCAUUGUUGAACCCUUGCCCAGGACAAUAAGCUCAUAUGGUGAUGACAUGAGCUGAGCUGUGUUCUUUAUUGUUGUUAUAGAUUUUACAUGGUCCCUUGGUUUCAUCUGCAAUUUUUCAUGCACAUGCGCAGUUCUGCUUUUCUCCUUUUGUAUCCUGCCCAGGAGUGUGUGGAGAUUCAGAUGAGUCUAUUUUCUAUCACAAAACGCUGCCACUAACUGCAGUUGACUCAAAACAACUUACCCAGGAUUCUCUUUCUUUAAAAAUAGAUGUGGACUGUACAUUUUUGUGUAUGAUGCAUUAGAAUAAAAAAAAAAACCUGAACUCA